CGUUGAGGACGAAGGACAUCAUUGAGAGCCGGCCUGGAGGGGUGGGCUCUUCGAAUGACAGUUUACUACCCAAUACCAACAGUAUGACAUUGGAAACGGGAGAGGAAUCAUUUGCCCGAGUCACACAGCAGAGUGGAAUUUAAAUAGAGACCAAAUCUAAACAGUUCCCACUCCAUCACUACUGAUGCCCAGUUAUCGAUUCCUCUUUCCACUGUGGCUCCUGACGAUCCGAGCUGAGAGAAGGUUAAGUCAUUUUUCUAGAGGGUCUCAAGAAAGAGACUUAUCUAUCAUGCUUGCCUGGGACACAAGUCUGUUGACUGUAUUAUCUGUCAUGUGUGUUCAACCUCAAGUCACAAGCUGCAGAGCUAGGAGAGCUACGAGGCUGAGU
rnacentral:lncRNA from 1 species